AGCAGCCGCGGUAAUUCCAGCUCCAAUAGCGUAUAUUAAAGUUGUUGCAGUUAAAAAGCUCGUAGUUGAAUUUCGGGAUUGGCGCAUCGGUCGUGCCUCACGGGGUAUGAACUGGUGCAGUCAAUUUCUCACCUUCUGGAGAACCGCGAUGUCCUUAAUUGGAUGCCGCGGGGAACCAGGACCUUUACUUUGAAAAAUUAGAGUGUUUAAAGCAGGCAUUUUUGCUUGAAUACAUUAGCAUGGAAUAAUAAAAUAGGACGGCAUGGUUCUAUUUUGUUGGUUUCUAGGACCACCGUAAUGAUUAAUAGGGAUAGUUGGGGGCAUUAGUAUUCAAUUGUCAGAGGUGAAAUUCUUGGACUUAUUGAAGACUAACUACUGCGAAAGCAUUUGCCAAGGAUGUUUUCAUUAAUCAAGAACGAAAGUUAGGGGAUCGAAGACGAUCAGAUACCGUCGUAGUCUUAACCAUAAACUAUGCCGACUAGGAAUCAGACGAUGUU
rnacentral:rRNA from 1 species